GACGAACGCUGGCGGCGUGCCUAACACAUGCAAGUCGAACGGGACCGGGGGCAACUUCGGUUCAGUGGCGGACGGGUGCGUAACACGUGAGGAACAUGACCUUCGGCGGGGGAUAGCCGGCCCAACGGCCAGGUAAUACCGCGUACGACCAUUGGGGGACAUCCUUCGAUGGUGAAAGCAGCAAUGCGCCGACGGAGUGCCUCGCGGCCUAUCAGCUAGUUGGUGGGGUAACGGCCUACCAAGGCGACGACGGGUAGCUGGUCUGAGAGGAUGGCCAGCCACAUUGGGACUGAGACACGGCCCAGACUCCUACGGGAGGCAGCAGUGGGGAAUAUUGCGCAAUGGACGAAAGUCUGACUCAGCGACGCCGCGUGUGGGAUGACGGUCUUCGGAUUGUAAACCACUGUCGGGAGGGACGAAUACGCCGCAAGGCGGGUGACGGUACCUCCAAAGGAAGCACCGGCUAACUCCGUGCCAGCCGCCGCAGUAAUAC
rnacentral:rRNA from 1 species